rnacentral:tRNA from 1 species
ACUAUUUUGGCAGACAAGUGCAAUUGAUUUAGAAUCUUUAUAUAUAGAUUUCUAUAAAUAGUA